rnacentral:rRNA from 1 species
AUGCCGGUGGACGUGCAGCAGCAUCUUAUCUCGAAGACAUCAGCGAAGGAGGCGUGGGACACGUUCAAGACGUUGCAUCUAGGACACUCGCGUGUGCGCGAGCCGAACUUGCAAACUUUGUUGAAGAGUGACGAGAAUCUGAGGAUGGGAGAAGAUGAUACGGUGGACGCCUUCGCCGCAAGGGUUGAAACGAUGGUAAACGGGGUUCGUUGUCUCGGAGAGAAGUUGGAGGACAUCUCCGCGGUCAUGCGUUUCCUACGUGCCGCUCCACCGCGCUACAUGCCGAUUGUGUCAGCGAUCGAGCAAUACGUUGAUCUCAAGACUCUCACUUUGGAUGAUCUGGUUGGUCGCUUCAAGGCCCAUGAUGAGCAGAUGAAGCUGAGUUACGGUGAUGCAAAACAGGAUGAGUACCUGAUGCUUACGCGUGCUCAGUGGGCAUUGGUUUUCAAGGAGAACAAUUUCGACAAGGCGUCUGGUAUCGGCGGAAAGUACCGUCCCGCAUAG